UAGUCUGGUGCCAGCAGCCGCGGUAAUACGGAGGAUGCAAGCGUUAUCCGGAAUCAUUGGGCGUAAAGCGUCCGCAGGUGGUUUCCAAAGUCUGCUGUUAAAGACUGGAGCUCAACUCCGGAACGGCGGUGGAAACUUGGAAACUAGAGUUCGGUAGGGGUAGCAGGAAUUCCCAGUGUAGCGGUGAAAUGCGUAGAUAUUGGGAAGAACAUCGGUGGCGAAGGCGUGCUACUGGACCGUAACUGACACUCAGGGACGAAAGCUAGGGGAGCGAAAGGGAUUAGAUACCCCUGUAGUCCUAGCUGUAAACGAUGGAAACUAGGUGUGGCUUGUAUCGACCCGAGCCGUGCCGUAGCUAACGCGUUAAGUUUCCCGCCUGGGGAGUACGCACGCAAGUGUGAAACUCAAAGGAAUUGACGGGGGCCCGCACAAGCGGUGGAGUAUGUGGUUUAAUUCGAUGCAACGCGAAGAACCUUACCAGGGCUUGACAUGUCGCGAAUCUCGGUGAAAGCUGAGAGUGCCUUCGGGAGCGCGAACGCAGGUGGU
rnacentral:rRNA from 1 species